rnacentral:rRNA from 1 species
AGCGAACGCUGGCGGCAGGCCUAACACAUGCAAGUCGCACGAUCCUUCGGGAGAGUGGCGGACGGGUGAGUAACACGUGGGAACGUGCCCUUUGGUUCGGAAUAACGCAGGGAAACUUGAGCUAAUGACGGAUAUGCCCUUCGGGGGAAAGAUUUAUCGCCAUUGGAGCGGCCCGCGUUGGAUCAGCUAGUUGGUGGGGUAAAGGCCCACCAAGGCUACGAUCCAUAGCUGGUCUGAGAGGAUGAUCAGCCACACUGGGACUGAGACACGGCCCAGACUCCUACGGGAGGCAGCAGUGGGGAAUCUUGCGCAAUGGGCGAAAGCCUGACGCAGCCAUGCCGCGUGAAUGAUGAAGGUCUUAGGAUUGUAAAAUUCUUUCACCGGGGACGAUAAUGACGGUACCCGGAGAAGAAGCCCCGGCUAACUUCGUGCCAGCCGCCGCGGUAACAC